GAAAUGCGAUAAUUAAUGUGAAUUGCAGAAUUCAGUGAAUCAUCGAGUCUUUGAACGCACAUUGCGCCCCCUGGUAUUCCGGGGGGCAUGCCUGUCCGAGCGUCAUUGCUGCCCUCAAGCACGGCUUGUGUGUUGGGCUUCCGUCCCUGGCAACGGGGACGGGCCCAAAAGGCAGUGGCGGCACCAUGUCUGGUCCUCGAGCGUAUGGGGCUUUGUCACCCGCUCCCGUAGGUCCAGCUGGCAGCUAGCCUCGCAACCUAUCUUUUUAACCAGGUUGACCUCGGAUCAGGUAGGGAUACCCGCUGAACUUAAGC
rnacentral:misc_RNA from 1 species